UCACAUGUGCAGAUCCCGGAACAGGAUUAAUGUCCAAUCCACCGGUGAGGAAUCUCAUUUUUAUCUGUAAAUUUACGACAGUUAAAGUCGUCAUUUGACGCAUAGUUUCAUCCCUCUCAGUACAAGCAAGUGUUGAAGUGUUGACAUCUUUUGAUGCAGGUGAGCAAAUCUCACCUGCAGAUUACCUUAGCUCGUCUAGCUCAUGUCAGUGCAAUCGACAAACAUUUUUUCGAGAUGAAAGCAGUUUAGCGAGCCAGCCAAGUUGUUGCAGCUAACGCGAGUUUGCCGACCAUCCAGAGAGCCAGCUGUCUAGCUAGCUAACCCUGACAGAAUGCGAUGGGGAACUGUUGGGGUUACUGUACUGGGAUCUUCCGGCGAGAAGCGAACAGGAUACAACGUGGUGGCGGGUCCAAGUACUUCCGCAGCAGCACCACCGGGGAGCAUUACACUAUUGAAUUUGAAAAUCUAGUAGAGAGUGAUGAGGUUGAAAGCCCACAAAGCUGUCCCAGGCCUAUCAAUGAGGAGGAGAUCAAUCACCUCAAAGAGCACCGUUAUACUGCUAUUUCUGAUCAGCAGACCUUGAUAGACCUCAAACUGCAGGCGGAGUUAGAGGCAGAAGAGGAGAGGUUGAGGCUAGACGAGGAGGCUAGGAAUGCAGCGCAGCGCCAAGCCGCCAGGGUCGCUCGCGAGCGAAGGCUCCUGGAGGAGCAGCAUGUGCUGAGGACUAAAGGCCGGCCGGAUGGAGAGAGCAGAGCAGGACUCCACAAGAAGCACACACCAGGAGAAGACUUUGAUGUUUACCUCCAGAACGUGAAGGCUCAGUCUGAAGCCUUCAGGGGCAGCAGGUUGCCCUCGGAGACCACCGUGGUAACCCCCAACACGGAGAGCAGUUGGGACUUCACCACCAAGACCCGCUCUACCAACGACGACGGCACCUCUCUGGACCUGGAGUGGGAGGACGAGGAGGGGAUGACUCGGGUGGGCCCAGCGUGGGAGCGUUCCCGGACGGAGGAAGACAUCCUGCGUGCCGCCCUGCGCCCAGGCCCCGCCCCCCUCGCCAGUGGCCCGGCCUCCGCCUCCGAGGACUCCAACGCCCUGGAGUGGGAGAACGAUUUUGUGAGCGCACUCACUGACGACGUGGACGAGUCCGAGUACGAGGGCUUCGUCAACCCUGUCCUGAAGACGCCGUCAGACACGCCUGGAGACACGCUGUCUUCAGACACGCCGUCCGGGGACACGCCGGAGGACGCCACACUGUCGGACACACAGGACAGAUAGUCCCCGUUGCCAGCGGAAACGGAGGCCAGUCAUUACUAAGUCCACCAGCCCACAGUUGGUUGGAAAUGUAUUUAUCACCACUUGCUAGCAGUGACAUUUGCUCUGAGAGGAGGAGCUACUGUAUCAUUCUCUGUGGUCUGGCUUUCGUGUGUAAAUAAGUCAGGAUAAUACUCCCUUUUUCAGUGCCUUUUUAAAUUGAAAUGCAAUUUAAAAUGUUAAUAUUUGAAUGACCCAAGAAAGGCUUAAUCUUAGUACAAACUUACUAUUUAAGUUAUAAACCAAAUAGUUGACAAUGACACAUGGCCAUUUGCUAGCAACCUAGGCACUGUAAAAGGAAGUUCUGGAACAAGCACUAAGGACAUGUAACAUUCAUAUCAUAGCUUUGAAAAAUAGAAUUCUGUACAGCUUUUAAAGUAAAAGUUGUUUACUAUUAUACAGUUCACUGCAUGAACUGGCAACACAAUGGGAGAUGAUUAGCAGAUAUAAAUAAUGUUGUAACCAGGGUGGGAACUGCCUUGGGCUGUCUGGUCCUUGUUUUAUUUCCUAGUACUAUAUGUGUGUUUUCCAAACAUUAGAUACUGCAUCUAGCAUCUUUACAAGUCUGAUUUGUUUUAGUGAUGUGUGAGAAUUGGCUAAGGUCUAUUUCUUUUCCUUUUUUUUUUUUUUUUCUUCCUCAUUCAUCACUUAAUUUUCCCCUUCAAAAGUCAAGUGCAAUUUUUUAAAUUGUAAUAUGGGAUGAGUUUGUUUGCUUAUUUGUGUUUGUUUGCAAGUGGGCUGCAGUGAGUUUACCUUUGUGUGUGUGAAACUGUUUUUGGUGAGCAUGUAUAACAGUGCCUGAUUGGCUAUUAGAAGUGUAACCUGCCAUUACUCUGAAGGAACAUGACAAGCUCUUCUGCACAAAACUCCUAACGUGUUCCUGGGUUACAGAGUUGAGGGUACCAGCAGGAGCCUGGCUAUGUGGGGACCAGAGGACUGAGAGGGGUUGAAACCCCCUCCAUGUCACGAACAGCAAACCUGCACUGCCACCCCUCCUAGGAGAGAGAGAGAGAGAGAGAGAGAGAGGGCAGCUCUGGGUCUGUCUGAGCUAGUAGAGAGAGCAGCUCUGUUUGAGCUAGUAGAAAGAGCAGCUCUGUCUGAGCUAGUAAAGAGAGCAGCUCUGUCUGAGCUAGUAGUAGUAUAGAGAGCUGCUCUGGGUCUGUUUGUGCUGACAGAGAGAGCAACUCUGUCUGAGCAACACAAAGUCUCUGGUUUGUUUUGUAAACCUUGCAGAUGUGCUACCUCCUACUUUUUAUAAUUCUAUACAAUCCCCGAGUAGAUACAUGUCGAAAUUCAAUUAUGUUAAAUAUGUUGAAAUUAACCAAAUAGUGUCUUUUUGUGUAGGACUGCUACUGAUGUAUCAACACUGUCAGCAGGUGUGACGUUCCCAGGGCCAUGCUCUUAACUAACAUACCGGACCUCAGUUUUGAUUGUAACACAAUACCUGUCCUACCUUAGCUGUCAGAAGGCUGGCUUUAUUUUAAGACUGCACAUCAGUGGAACUGCUGAUGGAAAUGCAUCCCAGCUGUUUAGGGCCUCCUACAAUCUUGGUGUUUUUCCUGAAAUCAGAGGGUUGUUUGUGUGAAACCAGUAAGUUACAUGUCAGGUUUAGUGGAGGGUAAUUAAUGUUGUCCCAAAAUGAACUGAGUUGUUUAGGGGACUGUAACUUGGGCAACUUCUAAAGGGACGAACACCUGUAAAUAUCAAAGCUUUUAAUAAUUUAUUAUCAGUCUUUCACUGCAGCCGUGGCAUGGAUUAGCUUGAGUGCUCAUAAUAGGAGCUUUACUAAACAUUUGAAAGGUCUGAAUCCUACUCUGACUACAACACAGGACACACACUUCACUGACUCCUGGGAGAGUUGGGAGUACAGGUUAGCUUAGUUCACAAAAUAAAAGAUUCACUCUUAUUCCAACUUCACUGUAGGUUAGGGUUACUGAAAAUGAGCUAUUUUAUCUAUGCACGAUUGGACUCCUUGGAGGUUGACAGGUGUGUGUGUGUUGCCAAUGCAAAAUGUUGGAAAUGGUUUUAAAAUCAAGGGGUACCAUUGCAGUCACAGCUACAGUUUAAUCAACACAUCAUUCCAUAAAAAAAAAUGUUUUGUUUAAAAGUAAUUAUUUUCUUCUCCAGCAUGAGGAGGUAUUACUGUAAAUAAGACCGUUUUUUUUUUUUUUUUUCAAGGACCAAAUUUGGAAUCCACAUUCACAUGAAUGCAUGACGCACAAACUGUACAAGUCCAUCUUCAGCUGGAGCUGAACUCCUCGUUAUAGCCAUUUGUCAUUCCAGCAGAAUGUCAUAUUACAAAUACUGUAUGGUCCAGUGAGCACAGCACCCUAUAGAUUCAGUUUGAGAACAAUAAAUUAAUAAAUCCUA